rnacentral:ncRNA from 1 species
UUCUGGGAGGAUUGACAGAUUGAGAGCUUUUUUUUGAUUUGGUGGAUGGUGGUGCAUGUCCGUUCUUAGUUGGUGGAGUGAUUUGUGUGGUUAAUUCCCAUGGCGAACAAGACUCUAGCCUAUUAAAUGGGUGCGUGGUUCUCUGCACGUUGCACCCUUCUUAGAGGGACAAGCGGCUCCUAUCCGCACGAAACAGAGCAAUAACAGGCCUUUGGUGCCCAUAGAU